UUUCCGUAGGUGAACCAGCGGAAGGAUCAUAAACGAGUAAGGGUCAAACUCCCCCGACCACCUUCCCUCUGUCUAAGUACUAUGUGGCUUUGGCGGGCCCGGUCCACGACCCCCAGCAGUCCGUGGCCCUCCCGCCCCCGCCCGCGAAUACCCAUCUACAAACUCCUGAUCAAUUUUCGUGCUUGAUUAAUAAAUAUAAUAAUUAAAACUUUCAACAACCGAUCUCUUUGUUCUGGCCUCCAUGAAGAACGCAGCAGAUCGGAAGAGCACCCGUCU
rnacentral:misc_RNA from 1 species